GAUGAAGAACGUAGCGAAAUGCGAUACUUGGUGUGAAUUGCAGAAUCCCGUGAACCAUCGAGUCUUUGAACGCAAGUUGCGCCCGAAGCCAUCAGGUUGAGGGCACGUCUGCCUGGGCGUCACAUAUCGUUGCCCAAUGCCUAUUGCAGUGCAAUAGGAAUUUCUAGGGCGAAUGAUGGCUUCCCGUGAGCGUUGUUGCCUCGCGGUUGGUUGAAAAUCGAGUCCUUGGUAGGGUGUGCCAUGGUAGAUGGUGGUCGAGUUAGAACGAUACCGAUCAUGUGCAUGCUCCCCAAAAUAUGGCCUCUAUGACCCACACGCGUCUUUUGGCGCUCAUGACGAGACCUCAGGUCAGGCGGGGCUACCCGCUGAAUUUAAGCAUAUCAAUAAGCGGAGGA
rnacentral:misc_RNA from 1 species